AAAACGAGAGUAACACAUCCCAAGUAAGCAAACACUGCCUCAAUCGGAACACGUCCAUUGGGGAUUUGCUGUGGACAGCAUUUUUGACAAGAAAUUUGCAGCAUUUUUGGAUUCAGAAAGUUGACAUGAGUUUUUCGGGU
ensembl:ncRNA W01A11.20 ncRNA